rnacentral:rRNA from 1 species
UACGUAGGGUGCGAGCGUUGUCCGGAAUUAUUGGGCGUAAAGGGCUCGUAGGCGGUCUGUUGCGUCAGGAGUGAAAACUCGGGGCUUAACCCCGAGCCUGCUUCUGAUACGGGCAGACUAGAGGUAUGCAGGGGAGAACGGAAUUCCUGGUGUAGCGGUGAAAUGCGCAGAUAUCAGGAGGAACACCGAUGGCGAAGGCAGGUCUCUGGGCCACUACUGACGCUGAGAAGCGAGAGCAUGGGGAGCGAACAGG